UAGCCUUCUGCCUCCUACAGGGU
rnacentral:piRNA from 1 species